CCCGUGAUGAGUUGUUGUCCUGUCCAAGCCUGGCUCCCCAACCUUGUACCCUGAGCUGCUGAGAUUGGCUCUGGCUAAUCACGACCCUGAGCUGGAAUAAUUGGGCAAAACAAGAAUGAUAAUAGGCAUGUCUCAAGGUUGCUGUGUGGACCAGCUAAAGCCCUAUGUAAGAAAGCACUUCACAUACAGAAGAGGGUUUUCCUACGUAACAAACCUGCACAUCCUGCACAUGUAUCCUGGAACUUAAAAUAAAAUAAAAUAAAAUUUUUAAAAAGAAUAAAUAAAUAGCAGUGUUUUUCCAUUUUUGCAGCCUAGUCCAAAGACGUUUACAUCCUGGAAGAGAACUUGCUGGCUUUUCACCUCAGCAUGUAUGGGCCAAACUAAUAUAACAAGAAGUCUUGAGAGGAGUCAGCGGCCAAGCUCCAUGUCUUGCAGCCAAACAAUGCUGUGGGAUGGAAGGUGGGAUGUCAUGUGUCUGGUUUACAGCACUCACGUAUCAGUUGGCAGUUAACGGAAGUGCUACUGAUUGUAACAGUGGAAGCAAUUUGAAAUGAAAUACAACACUUAAAGCAAAUGAAACGGAAGUGAAUGCCAGCAGUAAAUGGCAAGAAGAAAUCCAGUUCAGUGUGUUCCUCAGAAAUCUUGCCUCUUGGGACUAAGUGAUAUGCCUACUCCCCCUUCACCUUCGAUCAUGAUUGUAAACUUCGUGAGGACAUCACCAAAGGCUGACAUUGGCAACAUGCUUCCUGUACAAUCUGCAGAACAACGAUGGAACAAAAUAAACACCUUUUCUUUAUAAAUUACCCGGCUUCAUGUAUUCCUU
rnacentral:lncRNA from 1 species